rnacentral:tRNA from 1 species
GGGGAUGGAGCUCAAGUGGUAGAGCGCAUGCUCAGCACGCACAAGGUUCUGGGUUCGAUCCCCAGUGUCUCCU